rnacentral:rRNA from 1 species
AUUGAACGCUGGCGGCAGGCCUAACACAUGCAAGUCGAACGAGUGGCGGACGGGUGAGUCAUGUCUGGUAAACUGCCUUACGGCGGGGGAUAACUACUGGAAACGGUACCUAAUACCGCAUACCAUUCAAUGUGCCCAGAUGGGAUUAGCUUGUUGGUGGGGUAACGGCUCACCAAGGCAACGAUCCCUAGCUGGUCUGAGAGGGUGACCAGCCACACUGGAACUGAGACACGGUCCAGACUCCUACGGGAGGCAGCAGUGGGGAAUAUUGCGCAAUGGGCGAAAGCCUGAUGCAGCAAUGCCGCGUGUAUGAUGAAGGCCUUCGGGUUGUAAAGUACUUUCAGCAGGGAAGCGUUACCCGCAGAAGAAGCACCGGCUAACUCCGUGCCAGCAGCCGCGGUAAUUC